UACAAGUUUAUUUAAUGCAAAGUAGUAAUCAUGUUUAGACACCACAGGUGUAUAAACUGAAGCCAUUAUAGUUAAUUUAAUUUUAUCGAGGCCUUGAGCAGCCUUAAGUUCAUGUGCAGACACGUGAAACUUUUUUGAGUCCCAUACAUUUAGACAUGUUUGAGCAUCUGAAGUGGUGCCAGGAAGAGCUUUUGAGGCUUUGGGAAUCGUUUUGAUAUACUUUUACAGUUAAGCAUGAUGCUUCAUGAAGCAUCAUUUCUUACACAUGAGUUCUUGUCAAACAAAUAUCUGCAGCAUUUUAGGUAUAGUGUAUAACUUACAGCAAGCCAUGUACCACAAUAACAUUAACUUUUCUUUCCAGUGAUAAUGUCUGAGCCAAAAGAACUGGAGCAGAAAGAUGGGAAAUCUGAGUCACAAAUUAGAUAUUUGCAACGUCUCCACAAAUUAAGACGGCAUCAUAUAGAGUGUGAGAACCGGCACAUGCAUUGGCUCACCAAAUCAGCACAUGAUGAGAAAGAGAGAACUUUGCACUUGCAGACUUGGCUCCAGACUGUGCCG